rnacentral:tRNA from 1 species
UGGGAAGUGGCUCAAUGGUAGAGUACUUGCCUAAUACUCUAGAGGCCCCAGGUAUAACUCCUAGCUCUACAA